CAGGGCCUAGCUUAAAGUAAAGCAUCUCCCUUACUCCGAGAAGUUCCUUGUUCAAAUCAAGUGGCCCUGA
rnacentral:tRNA from 1 species